UAGGCCAGUCAUCCCAUGGGCAAAUUUUUGUGUGAACGUAUUUGCUUAUAUCACAAACUCUUUCACUUUUUAAAGUAUUCUUAAGAGGGACGCAUACCAAAAUAUUGGUGGGAACGUUAUAUAAAGGGUUGUGCUUGCCUAUGAUGCAAAUUUACAUAUAUUUAUUUAUUUACUGAUUUUAUUGUGAGACUAGGGAAAUAUUCAAGAAUGUUGUUUUCCAGAAUUUGUUCAGCAGAAGGUGACAAGGAGCUUCUAUAAAAGCAUAUUAAACUUCAGCAUUUCUACACUGUGGACUUUACAUUCAAAAGCUGCAAUGAAACCUGGAGAGCUACUCAGGAGAAUCUAGACAAUGCUGAUGUCAUAUGGCUUGUGAAAGAGAGAGGGAUUACAUGUACCGUGUGUGGAGCACAGCACUUGUUUGGUCAGGUUGUUGGCAUCGCACCAUUGACAAUGAAUGUGGAGACUUGAAGUCCCAAGUCUAAGAUCCUUUCCUCAGCCACAUUCAGCAUCAGCAGAAAGGAGAAGAAAGAUGUUUCUACAUGUCAGCUAUCAGGUCAGAAAACAGACCAAAAGUCAACCUCUAUGUGUUCGGGGGAAAAGGAAUAGUACUAUAUAUAAAGUUUUUUAAUAUUCCCAUAUUAAAAUAAUAUUCCCAGUGUCUACUAAGGCACCAAGGUACUGUGAAAAUAGAUUCAAAAGCACUGACAAAUGUAGUGAUAUCGGUACCUCUGCAGUAGGUAAACACAGAAACGUAGAAUGAUUUGGGUGCGAAGAGACCUCAAAGACCAUCUAGUUCCAACGCCCCUGCCAUAGGUAGGGACACCUUCCACUAGACCAGGCUGCCCAAUGCCCCAUUUGACUU
rnacentral:lncRNA from 1 species